AGUGAACGCUGGCGGUAGGCCUAACACAUGCAAGUCAAACGGCAGCACAGUAAGAGCUUGCUCUUACGGGUGGCGAGUGGCGGACGGGUGAGGAAUACAUCGGAAUCUACUUUUUCGUGGUGGCUAACGUAGGGAAACUUACGCUACUACCGCAUACUACCUACGGGUGAAAGCAGGGGAUCUUCGGACCUUGCGCGAUUGAAUGAGCCGAUGUCGGAUUAGCUAGUUGGCGGGGUAAAGGCCCACCAAGGCGACGAUCCGUAGCUGGUCUGAGAGGAUGAUCAGCCACACUGGAACUGAGACACGGUCCAGACUCCUACGGGAGGCAGCAGUGGGGAAUAUUGGACAAUGGGCGCAAGCCUGACCCAGCCACACCGCGUGGGUGAAGAAGGCCUUCGGGUCGUAAAGCCCUUUUGUUGGGAAAGAAAAGCAGCAGGUGAAUACCCCGCUGUUCUGACGGUACCCAAAGAAUAAGCACCGGCUAACUUCGUG
rnacentral:rRNA from 1 species